AUCUGAUGAAAAAAAAAAAAAAAUCCAAGAGUAAAUUUGGUAAAAUGUAAUAUAUACUCGUUGUCAAUGGUGAAGGACAGAUUGGAACAUACCAGAAAUAUAUUGAUUUAAAAAAGGUACGCACUUAGUCGACCAUUCGUAUAUACGCCUGGAUUAUAAGUUACGGAACUAUAGCGCAAAUUAAAAUAUAUACAUUUAUACAUAGAACAUAAGAAAGAAUAAUAUAUUUUGCGUAAAUUGGGGUAAAAGUUUUGUAAAAUGAAAAGUCCACGUAUGCCAACAGUAAGUAAUCAUCAAAUGUCGAUAGAUUAUUGUAUACCAAACGAAGAAGGAGAAGAAGAAGAGAUUUAAACACAGGUCGAUAUAUAACUUUAUUUGGCUCAUCGAAGUUAUGGACAUUUAUAUAAUUCAAUUAGAUUGUUCUCGAAAAAAGGAAGAAAUUCGUCUUCGUCACAAUUGUUCCAAAAUGCAUGUAAUAUAUACGCCACUGGAAGUACACUUAUACCGAGGGAUGUGAAUAUUUUCCGGGAAAACUAUAGAGUAUCAAAGUUUCAAAUCAAUUUCGGGAUUUAUUUUCUCUCUAGAUAUUCAAUGACAGCAAUUUAAAGAAACUGCUUGUCCGCUUUAGUGGUAUUCUUGCCAGUUGAAACAGACUUAUAAUUACAUUAAAAAAUAGGGAAGGAUGACAUUAAAUUCGUUGUCUUUUUUUAUACAUCGUUGGUCAAAUAGCUAAAGUAUUAUAUAUAGUUACGGUGUGAGACGAAGAGUAUUUUAAGAAGGACAUAUUCCCGAUUAUGUAUAAAUUUUGUUGAUGUUUUUCACACUUGAAAAGCAUAUCUGUUCGUAAUUUGUCGAUUCCAUUCCAAUUAGAUCCUUUAAUUUCCUGUCAAUUUUUUUAAACAUUUUUCUUUUUAAAUAUCUGAAGUCUUCAUGUGUUGUCAGAUUUAAAAU
rnacentral:lncRNA from 1 species